rnacentral:rRNA from 1 species
GGUGAACGCUGGCGGCGUGCCUAAUACAUGCAAGUCGAGCGAACAGACGAGGAGCUUGCUCCUCUGACGUUAGCGGCGGACGGGUGAGUAACACGUGGAUAACCUACCUAUAAGACUGGGAUAACUUCGGGAAACCGGAGCUAAUACCGGAUAAUAUAUUGAACCGCAUGGUUCAAUAGUGAAAGACGGUUUUGCUGUCACUUAUAGAUGGAUCCGCGCCGCAUUAGCUAGUUGGUAAGGUAACGGCUUACCAAGGCAACGAUGCGUAGCCGACCUGAGAGGGUGAUCGGCCACACUGGAACUGAGACACGGUCCAGACUCCUGCGGGAGGCAGCAGUAGGGAAUCUUCCGCAAUGGGCGAAAGCCUGACGGAGCAACGCCGCGUGAGUGAUGAAGGUCUUCGGAUCGUAAAACUCUGUUAUUAGGGAAGAACAAAUGUGUAAGUAACUAUGCACGUCUUGACGGUACCUAAUCAGAAAGCCACGGCUAACUACGUG